rnacentral:rRNA from 1 species
UACACUCCUACGGGAGGCAGCAGUGGGGAAUAUUGCACAAUGGGCGCAAGCCUGAUGCAGCCAUGCCGCGUGUAUGAAGAAGGCCUUCGGGUUGUAAAGUACUUUCAGCGGGGAGGAAGGCAAUACGGUUAAUAACCGUGUUGAUUGACGUUACCCGCAGAAGAAGCACCGGCUAACUCCGUGCCAGCAGCCGCGGUAAUACGGAGGGUGCAAGCGUUAAUCGGAAUUACUGGGCGUAAAGCGCACGCAGGCGGUCUGUCAAGUCGGAUGUGAAAUCCCCGGGCUCAACCUGGGAACUGCAUUCGAAACUGGCAGGCUUGAGUCUUGUAGAGGGGGGUAGAAUUCCAGGUGUAGCGGUGAAAUGCGUAGAGAUCUGGAGGAAUACCGGUGGCGAAGGCGGCCCCCUGGACAAAGACUGACGCUCAGGUGCGAAAGCGUGGGGAGCAAACAGGAUUAGAUACCCCUGUAGUCCC